rnacentral:rRNA from 1 species
AUUGAACGCUGGCGGCAGGCCUAACACAUGCAAGUCGAACGAGUGGCGGACGGGUGAGUAAUGUCUGGGAAACUGCCCGAUGGAGGGGGAUAACUACUGGAAACGGUAGCUAAUACCGCAUACCAUCGGAUGUGCCCAGAUGGGAUUAGCUCGGAGGGGGGGUAACGGCUCACCUAGGCGACGAUCCCUAUCUGGUCUGAGAGGGUGCCCAGCCAAACUGGAACUGAGACACGGGCCAGACUCCGACGGGAGGCAGCAGUGGGGAAUAUUGCACAAUGGGAGCAAGGCUGAUGCAGCCAUUCCGCGUGUAGGAAGAAGGCCUUCGGGUUGGAAAGUACUUUCAGCGAGGAGGAGUUAAUCGCAGAAGAAGCACCGGCUAACUCCGUGCCAGCAGCCGCGGGAAUAC